GUGGGGAAUAUUGGACAAUGGGCGCAAGCCUGAUCCAGCCAUGCCGCGUGUGUGAAGAAGGCCUUCGGGUUGUAAAGCACUUUUGUUGGGAAAGAAAUCCUGUCGGCUAAUACCCGGCGGGGAUGACGGUACCCAAAGAAUAAGCACCGGCUAACUUCGUGCCAGCAGCCGCGGUAAUACGAAGGGUGCAAGCGUUACUCGGAAUUACUGGGCGUAAAGCGUGCGUAGGUGGUUCGUUAAGUCAGAUGUGAAAGCCCCGGGCUCAACCUGGGAAUUGCAUUUGAUACUGGCGGACUAGAGUGCGGUAGAGGAGAGUGGAAUUCCCGGUGUAGCAGUGAAAUGCGUAGAGAUCGGGAGGAACAUCAGUUGCGAAGGCGGCUCUCUGGACCAGCACUGACACUGAGGCACGAAAGCGUGGGGAGCAAACAGGAUUAGAAACCCCAGUAGUC
rnacentral:rRNA from 1 species